UACGUAGGGUGCAAGCGUUGUCCGGAAUUAUUGGGCGUAAAGAGCUCGUAGGCGGUUUGUCGCGUCUGCUGUGAAAACUCAGGGCUUAACCCUGAGCCUGCAGUGGGUACGGGCAGACUAGAGUGUGGUAGGGGGAGAUCGGAAUUCCUGGUGUAGCGGUGGAAUGCGCAGAUAUCAGGAGGAACACCGGUGGCGAAGGCGGAUCUCUGGGCCAUAACUGACGCUGGAGGAGCGAAAGCAUGGGGAGCGAACAGGA
rnacentral:rRNA from 1 species